UUCAUUUCUUGCACUUCUGAUAAGCAGGAAAACUGCUGUAUGUACUCAUACAAAGGAAAUGUUGUCCAACCCAGUGUGGGUGUAUUUUCAGUUAUAUAAGUGCCUUGUGCUACAGAACACUCAUUUCUUUUCCUCAAGGAUGUAGUUUUUUUGUUUUUUUUUUUCUUCUUCUCCACAUAGUCUUAUUUUCAGGGCAUUGCUGGUUAUUCUGGAUUCUCUUUACCCUCAUGUCUGGCAGUUCAGCAAUCUAAAAAUAGGAUGGAACACAUUGAACUCAUAUAUUUACUCUCACUGGUCUUGCAAACUUGCUGUGUAACAGGGAAGGAUCCUGAUCCAUUGACUGGCCAUGUACAAGGGUCUGUUGAGUUGCUAUACAAUAUUCCAGUUCCAGUUGAUCUAGCAAUUUGGGAUUUUUCAUGUAGUGGAAAAAAAGGUAAAGUGGCAGAAUUCAUUCAGCAAAAGUUUAGUAUCACCCGGGAAGAAUUCCGCAGUCGAUUGGAAUGUUCUAACAAUGGAACCACAUUAAUAAUCAGAAAUCUGACUAAAGAGGACAGUGGCAUCUACACUGUACAGAUUUAUGACACUGAACAUGAUAAAUACGAAAUGUCUUAUAAUCUCUCAGUAUUUGAGCUGGUUCCCAAGCCACAAAUCAAGGAAGAAGAGAAGAGGAAUGAAACUGGCCAAUGUAAUUAUACUCUUCACUGUUCCGUCCCAUCAGACUCAUCAGCUCUGUCCUACAGUUGGAUGUACAGAUAUAAUAACUCUGAGUAUCAUCACUAUGCAAAUGGGAGCACAAUCCACAUCUCAUCACACAAUAAACCACUGGAAUGUAUCUGCUUGGUACGAAAUCCUGCGCACAAGAAUAAUGACACUUUUGUUUUACCAGCCUGUUCUGAGAUACUAAUGGAAGAAAAGAAAAGACGUCGAGAUUCCCUGAUCAUCAUGAUCUGUGUAUGUGGACCUUUUGCUGGCCUUGCAGUUGCACAAGUUUUUCUUUUUGUGAGAAAAAGAAGACAGAGGAAAAAGAAGAAAGAUAUGACAUAUAGUAAAAUUCAAUUUAACACACAGAAAAGUACCAACCAGACUGUGCCUAGCAGAAAUGGAUUCAGCAGCAAUCCUUUGUUACAUUCAGAAACAACCUAUAUUGAUGUAAAGAGAUAGCUAGGGCCAGUUGCUUACUCCUGUACCACAGACAAAAAGUUCUGUUACAAGAUAUUGAUGAAACAGAUAAUGUUAUCAAUACAGUUACUAACUUCCCUAGAAGUGUAAAGUCAUCACUCUCUGGUUGACAAGGUAAUGGCAUUGAGUAUCCAGCUCACCUGGUGGUACAUUGAAAUAUGCGCAGAAUGGAUAAACUAAACCACUGAGUACUGUAUAUGUUUAUAUAAAUAUAUUUGUUAAUUAUGCUAUAUUAAAAGCUAAUGUUAAUAAAUGUAACUUCUGACAAUUUGCCAAAACGUAAUCAAAAACCUGUUUCUUGGUUUCAUUGUAUAAUUCAUGAACUGAAUGUCAAUUUUGAGUCUAAUUUAGGUUUAUGUUGGGGAGUAAGGAGUAUAUAACCCCCAAGCUGUCAAAUACUCGGUUAACUACUUAACUAACUGUCAGUAAUAAAAUAUAUGAAGCACCCAG